UUGGACCAGAUUAAUUUAACAUUGUGAGCUAAGUCUGACUCGCUGAUCUUGGGAGCAGACGUAGCCUUUUUAUUUAGUUUCAUGAUGUUUUAAUUUGAGAGAAAUAACACAAAGACGUGUGUUUCAGGAGAAGAAAGGAGGCCUGGCCGGCAUCUUCAAAAGAUCAUCCAGCACUGAAAACCUGCUGGACGAGGUCGGUGUUUGAGAUACUUGUACUUUACUUGAUGUAUUUAUCUUUCUCAGGUUUCAUAAAAACAUUUCUGUGUUUCAGGAACGAGACGCUCAGAAAGACUCAGGCAGCAAUGACGACCUGUCUGAGAACAACACCACGAAGGUGAGCAGUGUGAUGCAAAACACAAACCUGUUGGUAAAAUGUCUUGAGAGGAAGCGUUCACUCACAACCAAUUUAUGUUUUAGGAGAAAAAUAUUUUUAGCAACAUGUUUAAGAAGCCGCAGAAACCAGCAGAGGGAGCUGCAGCAGACAAGGUACCGUCAGAGUCUUUCAGUCGCUACAUUGCUUCUCACGAUGGAGUGGAUGUUUAUAUUUACUGCUUUCUGGGUUGAAUUCAGGAGCAGGAGGUCGACACGGAAAAGCAGUUAUCUGUUAGCUGUGAGAAUCUGGCUGACACCCCCGCCCCGAAGGAGAAGAAAGGAGGCCUGGCCGGCAUCUUCAAAAGAUCCGCCAGCAUUGACAACCUGUUUGACGAGGAGAAAGGCGGGCUGUUCAGUGGACUUCUUAAGAAAACACCCAAAGCGUCCGGAGACGAUGCAGAGGUGA
rnacentral:lncRNA from 1 species